rnacentral:rRNA from 1 species
CCCUUAGAUGUUCUGGGCCGCACGCGCGCUACACUGACUGACUCAACGAGUUUACAACCUGUGCCGAAAGGUAUGGGUAAUCUUUUGAAAUUCAGUCGUGAUGGGGCUAGAUUAUUGCAACUAUUAAUCUUCAACGAGGAAUGCCUAGUAAGCGCGAAUCAUCAGUUCGCGUUGAUUACGUCCCUGCCCUUUGUACACACCGCCCGUCGCUCCUACCGAUUGAAUGGUCCGGUGAAGCCUCCGGAUUGGCGCGCACCUCGGUGCCGCCGAGAAGUUGGCUAAACCUUACCAUUUAGAGGAAGGUGAAGUCGUAACA